UAUAGAAACACAAACUAUAAAUAAAAAUCAAAAUAAAAGAUAAUAGGAGUUUUCUCAACAGGGGGAUCAAGAAAAUGAGGGAGGGAGGAGAUAGAAGGAGGAUGAAAAAAGGAAUUAAGAUGUGCUACGUACAUUUACCAGCUCCAUACCAGGGAGUCACAUAUGUAGUAUAUUAAAGAACACUGAGUACAAGAGCUACCAGAGUGAGCAGAUGUGGAUAGAGGACAACUCUUUACUUUGGAACAAGGAUGCACAGUUUGAAAAACACAUUCAUAAUUUGUGAUUCAGUGAACCUUGAGAGUACUCUUGCAAGAACAACACAUUCAUCCUCUUUCUAAGGAAAGAGAAACCAAGGCGCAGGGAGAAUAAGAAAUAAAUUGAAUGCAACACAGCUGAUAAGAGGUGCAAUUGUCAAAGCCCUUGCUCCACCACACUUUACAACUAGG
rnacentral:lncRNA from 1 species